GACGUAGGGCGCAAGCGUUGUCCGGAUUUAUUGGGCGUAAAGAGCUCGUAGGCGGCUCGUUGCGUCGGCUGUGAAAACCCGCGGCUUAACUGUGGGCUUGCAGCCGAUACGGGCGGGCUGGAGUUCGGUAGGGGAGACUGGAAUUCCUGGUGUAGCGGUGAAAUGCGCAGAUAUCAGGAGGAACACCGGUGGCGAAGGCGGGUCUCUGGGCCGAUACUGACGCUGAGACGCGAAAGCGUGGGGAGCGAACAGG
rnacentral:rRNA from 1 species